GCUCUCAGGCAGCGAUACUGAUCCUCGUACUUUUCAAGUUGAGCUGGAGCACAGUGGAUGGUUAAGAUCUGAAGGGAAUGAGUGGGGCACUACCGCAACUUUGACAAGAACGCUCUUGCUGGAAUGCCGUGAUCAGCUGCCAAAACAAAGGAAUAGAAAUGGAAGAGUUAGAGGCAGUGUUAUGCUAGAGCUGUCCCUUAGCGAGCUGAUUUUAAAGCUUGAAAUCGGCCAUGGAUAAAUUCCCAGAAGUGGAAGACAUUGCCAAGUUUUUCUUCAGAAAGAUGGAUGAAUUCUUGGCCUGAAAAAGGGGAAUCAAAAGACGUGCUUUCCUGUGCUUCAGCUGCAAUGUCUAUUUCUCAAGACGCUGAAAAAGAUGAUUUAGAGUUUUAUGAUUAAUGGAAGGGAGGAAUCUACUCUAAAGAAAUUGGAUAAUACUAUAAAUAAGAAAUAAAAAUUAUUUGACAAAAGCUAUCUUCCCCUUAGGGAUUAUA
rnacentral:lncRNA from 1 species